UUACUUCGGGAGCUCGAAGAGUGCUGGAGUUCCUUUUCAGAAAUCAAGACAUUUAUUGCGUUUGCAAAGGAUUGCAGUCUGCAUUGCCACACUCUACUCACUUAAUCAUUCUUACCUUACACCAGCGGUGGAUGGUGGAAACGGAUCCUGGCAGUGGGGUUUCUGGCCUGUUGGUGGUGUUGCUUGAGUUUCAACUUCGCCCUCAUGACCAGGAUUAAGUGGUGGAUGUAUAGUCCCCGUUCUCUCCUUAUACCAUAAAAAUAAUAACCAAUGGUCAUGAGAUCCAUCCUCAUUCCUCAGUGGAAUUACAUAAAAGAAUUGGAAUUAUUAACAUGAUGAUUAUUAUAUUUAAAACAAUGAGUUUUGAUGUGAAAUACUUAUCUUGAUCAUCUCUUGAGA